rnacentral:lncRNA from 1 species
GGUAAGGAAAUAAUAUUUCUUGGGGAAACAUAAUAUUUAAGUUAGUACUUGACAAGCAUGAUGCAUGUAAUAUAAAUUUUAUUGAACCAGAUUUUUCCAAAGUGAAAAUUCUAUUAAUUGACUUUGAGAAGUCAUUGGAUUCUUUCUGAUCACUAAGUAAGGCUGAAUAGAGACACAGUUUAAUGUAGUAUAUCUUUUAUCUAUUUUGCUGACAUGCAACAUACACCAUAUACCCACAAAGAGAAAAUACCUAUAACACUAAAAUGGCAUAAUGAUGAAUCUUCAGUGUUCUAAGCCAUGUGGUUAUUGCUAGAACAUAAGAUAUCUGGUGAAAUGACAUAGCAUUUCUCCUCUAGGCUAGAGAGGAAGUAUCACAACGGCCCCAUUAAAAAAUUGUCCCAUCUAUUUAGAUCCGUUAGUAUGCUAUAUUAAAAGGUGAGAUUGGUGGCCAUGUUUCUUCAAACACAAAUCUGAGCCAUCAGGGUUGGCGAUAAAUAGCAGUGGAGUUCGAGGAUGACGUUCAUGGUCUUUGACCAUGUGAAGCAAAUUUAGACUGAUUUUCCUUAUCUAUCUCCUCUUCCAUGGAUUCCCAGAAAGCCAUCUAGAGAUUUAGUCAGGAAAAAUCUCUGUACAACACAGACACACAAGACCAAUCACGUCAAUGCCCUCAAGAUUUUAAAAACUUUUUUUUUUGCCAUUUCUUGGGCCGCUCCCGUGGCAUGUGGAGGUUCCCAGGCUAGGGGUCGAACUGGAGCUGUAGCCACUGGCCUAAACCAGAGCCACAGCAACGCGGGAUCUGAGCCACAUCUGCAACCUACACCACAGCUCAUGGCAACGCCAGAUCCUUAACCCACUGAGCAAGGCCAGGGACCGAACCCGCAACCUCAUGGUUCCUAGUCAGAUUCGUUAACCACUGCACCAUGAUGGGAACUCCAAGAUUUUAAAAACUUUUGCCGAAGAUUUACAUACAGAAAAUAAUAAUCUGUUAUCUGAUUCAAGGUUCAUUUUAAGAGAAAACAUUUAUUUUCAUGCUUUUUGAAAAUCACACUUUUUCUGGAAAUUUUAACAUUUGUUUUCUAGUUGUUGACUCAUUUAUGUAAAUUCAUUUUUUUUUCUUUUUUUGCUGUGCAUAUGGAAAUUCCUGGGUCAGGGAUCAAACUUGCACCACAGCAGUAACCUGAGCCACAGCAAUGACAAUGCUGGAUCCUUAACCCACUGAUCCACCAAGGCACUCCUGUGUAAAUACAUUUUUUUGGCUAUGCCUACAGCAUAUGGAAGUUCCUGGGCCAGGGAUUAAACCCAUGCCACAGCAAUAACCAGAGCCAUAUAAUAGCUAGAUCCUUAAUCCACAGAGCCACCGCAGAACUCCUCUGUAAAUUCUUUGUUGGUACAUUACUACUGUCCUCUCCCAUUUUACAGAGAAGUUAGGAGAAUACAUGGAAUGAUCCAAAAUCCUUGGAGCAAACACAAUCACAGAAACCAAUAUCAAGACCUCAGAAAGAUGCCAUCUGACACUGAGAUUGAACAAUGAUCAUUAUGUAAUAAAAUGGCCUGAAAAUAUGACUGCACAAAAGUCAGGUUGUUUUGUGACUGUGUUGAAGAGCUUCAAGUAUUCUUCAAGGUACCAUCAUGGUGAUGGUGCUUCUUAGUUUUGACUUGAUUUUACCUAGACUUUACAGUUUUUGUAAAUGUGGGGUAGGGCUCAUGGAGCCAAUGAGAUGCUAAAUCCAUCCCUCUUUUCCUCCACUCUAUACACAUACAACCAACCACCUCUUAGUAUCACCACUGCUUGAAGAGUGGACAGUAUUGGAUGAGUAUGUUAAUAUCUCACAGAGAAGUUAACAAACACUCCUAUGGGCAGUUCACCAAUACAUAAAAC